rnacentral:lncRNA from 1 species
UCUCUCUCACAAUUUGGCAUUUUAAAUCAAUGUUAGCAUAGUCAAAAUUCUGACAUUCCACUUUGAGAAACCUAUUUACAUUGUUCAGUUGAUCUUCACUCAAACUUAUUUGAUAGUAAAAAAUCACAUUUCUAUUGAAUACCAUUUCAGUUAUCUAUUGCUGUAUAAUGAGUGCCCCCCAAAUUAGUGGCUUAAUUUAAAUGAUGGGUUAUUUCUCACAGUUCUGUGGAUUUCUGUGUUGGCAGGUACAAGACAACCUGGCAGUUGGUGCUAAUGGGGUGCCUUACUUCCCCUCCACAUGGUUUUCCAUCCCCCUAAAGACUUCCUUACAAGGUAGGCUUAUCAGAUCACGAAUAACAGUGCACCAGAGACUGAGCUUCCUGUGCCUUCAUUCUGUGGAGGAUAGGCUCUGUAAACAGACAGACUUAGGCAUUCUAAAUGGCAUGAGCUAGAUGAGCUACAUCUCAAAAGCUUCCUUUGAGGUGGAAGGCGUCACAUUUGAAAUGCUUGUUGUAAAUGCCCGAAGUCAAAUCCGCUGCUUCAGUGCCAGAGGAAUACUUGGUGGUGAUGACUCGAUCAAUAUCCUCAGGACACUGGCUCCUGGUAAUAUUGCUUAAACAUUUUGCAUUAACUUGGCUUUAAGUGUUCCAGCUUUCUUUGCCCAGGAGAGCUAAUGAAAGAGAAACAUUAAAAUGAAGGCUAAUAAUCGUAGAGAAAAGUUAUAUAGUACACUUCACAGGCAAUAUAUGAGACUGUAGCUUCAUCUUCCUUCUGUAACACGUUUAUUAUGAUUAGAACACAGCCUUUUUCUGGAUGUCAUUUUCAGCUGAUGUGUCACAGCAUGAAAGAGUCUCAAAAUUGCAUCUGCUUCCCAUUCUUAGCUCAUUACAAGGAAGGAGGAAUAGAAGGGUGAGGGAUCUUGUGGCCGCGAUUUAUAUAUGAAGAGCAGAGGUGGUGUUAAGUCCCUAGACCAACACUUAAAUCUAAGAUUAUCUAGAAACUGAAUAGGAGAAGGGGGGCGGGGAGGCUAUAUAAAAAAC